rnacentral:rRNA from 1 species
AGAGUUUGAUCAUGGCUCAGAUUGAACGCUGGCGGCAUGCCUUACACAUGCAAGUCGAACGGCAGCACGAGAGCUUGCUCUUGGUGGCGAGUGGCGAACGGGUGAGUAAUAUAUCGGAACGUACCCUAGAGUGGGGGAUAACGUAGCGAAAGUUACGCUAAUACCGCAUACGAUCUACGGAUGAAAGUGGGGGAUCGCAAGACCUCAUGCUCAUGGAGCGGCCGAUAUCUGAUUAGCUAGUUGGUGGGGUAAAAGCUCACCAAGGCGACGAUCAGUAGCUGGUCUGAGAGGACGACCAGCCACACUGGAACUGAGACACGGUCCAGACUCCUACGGGAGGCAGCAGUGGGGAAUUUUGGACAAUGGGCGCAAGCCUGAUCCAGCAAUGCCGCGUGAGUGAAGAAGGCCUUCGGGUUGUAAAGCUCUUUUGUCAGGGAAGAAACGUGGACUCUAAUACAGAUCACUAAUGACGGUACCUGAAGAAUAAGCACCGGCUAACUACGUGCCAGCAGCCGCGGUAAUACGUAGGGUGCAAGCGUUAAUCGGAAUUACUGGGCGUAAAGCGUGCGCAGGCGGUUGUGCAAGACAGAUGUGAAAUCCCCGGGCUCAACCUGGGAAUUGCAUUUGUGACUGCACGGCUAGAGUGUGUCAGAGGGGGGUAGAAUUCCACGUGUAGCAGUGAAAUGCGUAGAGAUGUGGAGGAAUACCGAUGGCGAAGGCAGCCCCCUGGGAUAACACUGACGCUCAUGCACGAAAGCGUGGGGAGCAAACAGGAUUAGAUACCCUGGUAGUCCACGCCCUAAACGAUGUCUACUAGUUGUCGGGUCUUAAUUGACUUGGUAACGCAGCUAACGCGUGAAGUAGACCGCCUGGGGAGUACGGUCGCAAGAUUAAAACUCAAAGGAAUUGACGGGGACCCGCACAAGCGGUGGAUGAUGUGGAUUAAUUCGAUGCAACGCGAAAAACCUUACCUACCCUUGACAUGUCUGGAAUCCUUGAGAGAUCAGGGAGUGCUCGAAAGAGAAUCAGAACACAGGUGCUGCAUGGCUGUCGUCAGCUCGUGUCGUGAGAUGUUGGGUUAAGUCCCGCAACGAGCGCAACCCUUGUCAUUAGUUGCUACGAAAGGGCACUCUAAUGAGACUGCCGGUGACAAACCGGAGGAAGGUGGGGAUGACGUCAAGUCCUCAUGGCCCUUAUGGGUAGGGCUUCACACGUCAUACAAUGGUACAUACAGAGGGCCGCCAACCCGCGAGGGGGAGCUAAUCCCAGAAAGUGUAUCGUAGUCCGGAUUGUAGUCUGCAACUCGACUACAUGAAGUUGGAAUCGCUAGUAAUCGCGGAUCAGCAUGUCGCGGUGAAUACGUUCCCGGGUCUUGUACACACCGCCCGUCACACCAUGGGAGCGGGUUUCACCAGAAGUGGGUAGCCUAACCGCAAGGAGGGCGCUCACCACGGUGGGAUUCGUGACUGGGGUGAAGUCGUAACAAGGUA